rnacentral:rRNA from 1 species
UAACACGUGAGUAACCUGCCUUAGACAUUGGGAUAGCCUCGGGAAACCGGGAUUAAUACCAAAUAAAAUCAUAAUGACACAUGUCAUAACGAUCAAAACUCCGGUGGUCUAAGAUGGACUCGCGUCCCAUUAGCUAGUUGGUAGAGUAAAAGCCUACCAAGGCGACGAUGGGUAGCCGGCCUGAGAGGGUGAACGGCCACACUGGAACUGAGAAACGGUCCAA